UGGAUGUACUCAUAUUCCUUAGGAAAUUUCGAGCUAGAUCUCCACUUGACUUCUUCCAGAACACUAUGGGUGUGAAUCUGAAGUCCAUUAAUAUGUCACACAAUAAGAGGUGGUGAGGUGGUCAGCCAUUAUUACCUCAGUAACAUCAUCUCCAAGGGCCCACUUUUGAUCUGGAAGGAAUCUGACUCUUGGAAGUUGCUGCAAGUAUUAUGGAAUAGCUCGGAUCAUCAAGACGUUGCCAGUUUAUACAUCCUGUGCAAGAUGUGUGGGGCUGAGACAACUGUCAAAGGAGAGUGCUGCUCAUCAAGAUAA
rnacentral:lncRNA from 1 species